UGCCACAGCCAUACCACCCUGCAGCCCAACACUGGUUACUUACUGAAGCUAAGCAGAGUUGAGCCUGGUCAGUACCUGGAUGGGACACCAAAUGGGAAAUCUGGGUUCCUGUUGGAA
ensembl:rRNA 5S_rRNA 5S ribosomal RNA